rnacentral:lncRNA from 1 species
GGGAUUCCAUAUGGACAAAACAAAUCUUCUCCUGCUGCUGCUGUUAGAAUAUAUAUUUCAGGUUUCAAAGAGUCUAGAUUGUGACCAAGUGAAAAAAUCCACUAGAGCAGUUUCGGUGGCGUGGUCUGAGUUCCCCAAAGGAGAAAAACCAGAUUUUUAUGUUGUAACAUAUAAGCUUACAGAUGACUUCCAUGAAAAAAUUGUAGAAAACAUUUCUUCAGUUGUGCUAAAUCCUCUGAAUUCCAUAAUUCUGCUAGAAGAAGGAAAGAAAUAUG